rnacentral:lncRNA from 1 species
UUAAUAAAAACCUGCUGACUUCUAUUCAUGGUUUCGAUGGAUGCACCAAUAUCCAAAUCCUGGAACUUUCAUAUAAUAAAAUCACUCGAAUCAGUGGUUUAGAAUCUUUGAAAUAUCUUCAACAACUGAUUGUGGACCACAAUCAGCUAAUUAGCACUAAAGGUCUUUGUGAAGUACCCACCAUCGUGUACCUGGACUGCUCACAUAACCAUCUUACUGAUGUUGAUGGCAUUGGAAAUUGUGGAUUGCUCCAAAUAGUAAAGUUGCAGGGAAAUUACCUAAGAGAGCCUCCAUCCUUAAGAAAUCAUGUUCUCCUCAGAGAGCUGCAUUUGGACGACAACAGCAUCUCAAGUGUGGAAGGACUUUCUUCUUGUUGGUUGCCUUUACUACAAAUUCUAAGUAUCUCACAAAACAGUUUAGCAACAAUUGUACCACUUUUUCAUUUUGUGUCUUUGGAAAAGCUAGAUGUCAGCAACAAUUGUCUUUCUGAUCUCACAAAUGUCAUGUGUUGGUUCAAUGCAUGCUACUCUCUCGGUGAGCUUUGUCUCAUUGGAAACCCAGUACUACAGGAAGUAAACUGGAGACAUUCUAUACUUCAAGCAUUACCUGCUCUGAGAGUCCUCAAUGGUGACAUGCUGAAUUCUUCCUCCAAUGUCCAUAUUGAAGAAUACUAUC